rnacentral:rRNA from 1 species
CGCGGUAAUUCCAGCUCCCAACGUGUAUAUCGUCAUUGCUGCGGUUAAAAAGCUCGUAGUUGGAUCUAAGUUCAUGACUGUAGUUCUCCAUGUGAGAUACUGCUAGUCUGGACUGUUUCGCCGGUUUUCCGUAGCUUCGGCUGCGGUGACUGGUGUUGUAACUUUGAUUAAAUCAAUGUGAUUAAAACAGGCGUUUGCUUGAAUGCUUUAUCAUGGAAUAAUAGAAUAUGACUUCGGUCCAUUCUGUUGGUCUUGGGAUUGAAGUAAUGAUUAAAAGGAACAACUCGGGGGCAUCCGUAUCGCUGCGUGAGAGGUGAAAUUCUUGGACCGCAGCGAGACGACCUAUUGCGAAAGCAUUUGCCAAGAAUGUUUUCAUUAAUCAAGAACGAAAGUCAGAGGAUCGAAGGCGAUUAGAUACCGCCCUAGUUCUGACCGUAAACUAUGCCAACUAGCGAUCAGGUGGAGGUAGUUUAGCCCUGCCUGGGAGCUUCUCGGAAACGAAAGUCUUCGGGUUCCGGGGGUAGUAUGGUUGCAAAUCUGAAACUUAAAGGAAUUGACGGAAGGGCACCACCAGGAGUGGAGCCUGCGG